rnacentral:misc_RNA from 1 species
GAUGAUGAUGACGACGACGAUGACGAACCAAUGUCUCUGUCUGAAUUGUCUUCUAGCUUUCAAAAAUGUUUGAAUUCAAAUGAACAAGCUAUGAACGGGGAAACUGAUAAUCCUGGAAACCAAAGUGACUUUUUGCAGAUCAAACCGUUUGACUAUGAAGCAGCAAGGAAACAAGUAGUAUUCGGAGAAGAUUUGGAGGAAGACUCGGAACCUGAGAACGACAAAAAUCCGAAGGCAUCAAAGAAUGCUGGGGCAAAAUUAGAUUUAGGUCUAGAUAGAGUUCAAAAGAACAGUGGCACCGUGGAAUUACCACAAGGCAAACGACGCCAUGCCUUCCCUGCAACUGGAAACCGAAGUGCAACUUUCCGCUAAAUCAAUGUAAGUGAUUUUUCCUCUGUAAAAUACCG